GCCUCAUAUCAUUGAAAUUCCUAAAAAUUUAUAAAUACCCUGAAACUCUUGUUUCUGGUGGGCCAAAAGUUUUUAUAUGAGAAAGCACUGUUCUUGCCUUACGAACAUGGAGAACAAAUUCCUGUCUCUGUAUUGCUGUCUUUGUUGUGGUGAAUGGUUAAGAUUGCUGUCUGAACACAGCAAGCUGUGAUUAAUAACAAACUUUUGUUAUCAGACUCCCCCACACACUUAAGCUGGGAAGUGCUCUGGAUGAAUAAUGCAUAUUUGAUGACUCUUGUGUUCCUCACAACUCUGAAAAUGCUUUAGGUGAAUGCUAGAAAAUUAUACCUCAUUGUAUGAAGUGAGCCCAUGGGACUAAAAGAAAACCUUUUUUGGGAAAGGAAGCAACCUAGCCAUUGUCAAUAAUUGUUGGCUACAAUAUAAAAAGUGCUAACAGUAACCUGAAAUCUGAAAAGAGUAAAUUUGUGAUAUUCUUUGAAAAAGUCUGUCUGAACUUUGCUUCGAAAAUGUUGAAGCAUUUUGCUCAUCUCAGUUUUUCUGCUGUGCACAGAUACACACUGAUUAUGGCAGUUUAGGAGGGAAUCUUUGACACUGCCUGCUAAAUGGCACAGUGACCACUAAAGUAAUGCAUUAAACCACAAACACUGGGAUCUGUGCUCAGUAGAAGCCCUUUUUUAGUAAGAGUUAGGAAGAUGCAAGAGCUCUAAAGGAUGGCAUUCUCGCUCUCUGCUGCAGCAUAGCUCCAGUUGGUCUCAGGAAGGGAAAACCUUGUCUGUUGUGCCUCUCAUCAGCCUGCUGGUGAGAUGUCCUUAGCGUGAAGUCUCUUAAGAUUUUGUAUGUCUGUGUUAGAGAGCAAGUUUACAUCACAGAAGGAAUGUAGUCUCAGCCAGAGAGUAACUGUUGGUGGUGGUGUCUGUGGUGUGGAAGGGGAACACUGACAUCUCCAGACAAUGCUGUGGCUGUGCUGCUGCAGGGCUGGGAUCACCUCUGCAGGAGGCAGUCCUGGAAGAAAGGGGAAGAAAGAAGAAAGAUUUGCAGGACUGUGCAACUGGGAUGGGGUGUCUCAGCAAGAGGGCACCAGUGGGCUAUGGACCAGGGACACUGGUCCUAUCUGUUGCUUCGUGGAGCAAGAGAGGGAAAAGAGUGGAGGAAGCAGUGCCUCCCCGAGGAGACUGAAAUGGUAAAGGAGCUUGGGCAUGGCUCAGCUCAAUGCCUGCAGCUCUGGAGAUCCCUCUUCUAGUUGUUAGUGACAUCCAGACAGCUCUGCGUGUAGUUUUCCUGUGCCUUUUUUACAUCACUGUAAGAUUGGGGAAAAUGUGUUCAUAGUAUGAAUCUGUACCAGACUUCCAUUUGACUAGUCCAGUGAAACUGGGAUGUCACCUAGACAGCAGGAGGAAACAGAUAAGAAAAGUAUAAUAAGAAAUUGAGAUAAACAUCAACAUGAUAUAAAGAAUAUUUUCCAAAUUUGAGAAAAAUCAGAGGAAGUAGUAUCUUCUUAAAGUUAAUUUAUUGGAAGAAAUGACAGGGGUUUAAAAUAAUGUUUUUCGUGUCACAGAAGGCCAAAAUACUUGGAGGACUUUGAAUGUGUCUUAAAAGUAUUUAUAUGUGCUGUAACACAGGUAAAGAUUGUUCCAGUAGAUUCUUCAUAAUUUACAGAGAAGCCACAGAUAAAGACUUUGGGAGGAACCUGAUGCCACAUUGCAAGCUUAUCUACAAGUUUAUAUAAAACUUCAAAUAUGUGCAAGAAGUAUAUUGCCAUCAACUGUAGCUAUGUAGCUUUGUUUUAGAACUAAAACAUCUGAUGCAGCUCAAAACUGUUUGUUUGUUUGUUUGGUUUUUUUUAAUGUAUGCUAGAGCUGUUGAAGAAAAAAAAUUAUAACUAAUCACUCCAGGUUUCUUUAACUGUUUCAGUUACAUCUAAAAUAGUAGAGGAAAGUCCUUGUUUGGAGCAACAUCAACUUGUAAAUGUUGUGUAUGAAAACUGUACAACAAUAAAUAUAAGAAAACUAACAAGACCCAUUCCUAUAAGUUCUCUAAACUGUGAGUAGAAACACAGUUACCUACAAAUGCUUGAAGAAACUUACAUGUAAUUCUUCAAUUACAUUAAAGCAUGUUAAUAAAGCUUGAUUAAAGCUAUCUGUUAGUAGUAACUACUAAUGGAUAUUGAUUUAUAUUAAAGAACAAUUAAAAUAUUAAAGCACAUUAACAAACAUGCUUUGCUUCUAUUUGCGUCUUUGAUUUUCUUCCAUAAGUAGAGUUUUCCAAAUGUAUCUGGAGUUUUCUUGCUUGCUGGUUACUGGGUUCUCAAUUUUAGCUAUGGAUUAUGUAAAUAUUCACUUUGGUGUCCUUUGGAAAACACUACUAGUGCUCCCAUAAAACCUAAAAACCCUAUCUUUAUAUUUUUUGUAUAAAUCAGGUAAUUAAAGUUGGAAAAAUAAUUAUCAUUCUGAGAUUGAUAUGUGCCUUUAAAUUACCAAAUAUUGUGGCUUUAAUUGUUUUCUGUGUAGAUGAUGUGUGUUUUGCUGUUCACAUCACAAACAUAUAGCUAACUGAACUUCUGUCGGUACUCUUUUCCUAUUGCAACAGUUCCCUAGGCAAAUCUGCUAAUGAGCAUGCCCCAUAGGGCCUAUGGUAACUGCUUCAAGUGGCCAUGUACUUAAUUAAUGCCAAGAUGAUGCCCUGUACAUCCAAUGAGUUAUCUGUGCCACAUGUGAGUGUGUGUGAAUGUGCCAGUUGACUGCUUACAGGUGCUGCAACCUUUUGAAAAACAGUAUGCAUCCAUCCUUGGUUUUAGAAAGAGAGGGUUUAGAUGACCAUGGUUAAAGUUUCAUUCUCUUCAGAGGCCUGGUUACAAAUGGAGCUCCUUGGGAUCUCCUUCUCUGGACAUUUUCAAGACCUUAAGAAUCAAACCUCUAAGUAACCUUGUCUGAAUUCCAUGUUGAUCCUGCUUUAAGCAAGAGUUUGGACUUGAUGACCUCCAGAGACCUUCUGAGGUAUGCAGGAGAGGACAUUCUGCUGUGGGUCCUAAGAGUUUGUAACAGCUUAGUCCUGGGAAGAGACAGGUUGUAAGAUACACCCCUGUUUAUACAGUCAUACUGGUUAGAUCAGGCUGGUCCUGUCUUAGCAUAGUGACUUCUAUGGGCCUCGUUCUUGGAUGCCUGAAUCUUCCUUUUAACGUAAAAAACUGAUGUUAUUUAUGAUAAACACCUAACUAAAACAGACAACACAAAAAUUUUCCCUUGAAUAGAGAACUCCAGAGUAGAGGGCUCAUUAAUUAAUUUUGCAUCAACCCCAUGGCUAAUCAUUACUAGAAUUUUAUGACUACUUCACAGAAAGGUUGAUAUAACUGAAACUUACUUUGGGUGAAUCAUUCACAUGAGCUAGGCAAACAUUUGCCUUCCUUUUUUGCUCGUAAGUUUUAUUUAAUGUGUAUUUUUUUCUACCUUUUUUACCUCAGAAUAUGUAUGUGAAUUGUCUUGAUAGCUCAUCAUCGCUUACAGAUUUUGCAUUUCCACCAAGAGAGAUGGGAACAGCCAUUGUACUAAAGAGGACAAGCAGGAAAACGUGAGUAGAUUACAUGGCCAUACUCUCAUAUGAUAACCAAGGAGGAAAUGUUACCUUAAUUUCUACAAAUUCACGCAAUAAAGGAGCUGACAUAGCAUGAAUGAGAACCAACUCAUAGUCUGUCUAUCUAAUAUCCUGUUUCUGAUGAUGAGUCAUAUCAAUUGCUUUAAAAGAAAACAUGGACAAUUGGAAAUAGAUUUACAGGUGUGGAAGAUUAUACCAGAACUGUCUUAACCUCUUCUAGUUACAGAUUUGUUUAGUCUUCUAAAGUAUUUUUUGGACAUUGAUAACUAUAGUAACUCUUAAUCUAUAUAAGUAUCUGCUCACUCUUUCCUGUCUGAGAAGAGGAAUGUGAAAUAUUCAUUGGGGAAUCCUGAAGCCAAAUGAAAGACCUUGGCUCCCCCAGUCCUAUGGAAAAUAACAGUGGCAUUCCUUAUAAUUUACAGACAUUUCCCAGUACAUGCUAAUUUUAACAUGCCUUUAAUACAACUUUAUGCAAUUAAAGAAGUACAGAUAUUCACAUCUUUACCUUUUUCAGUUUAUGCAUUUCUCUACCACAUAAAUAAUCAGAUUCAGAUGAGACCAGAACACAUGUACAUACAUGUAUACAUAAACAUCCACACCUUUCCCUGAAGACUGAAUUUGCAGAUCUUCCUGUUGGAACUGAAAAACAUCUGCUAAAUAUUUUCUGCUCCAAGAGAAAUGAAUGGAGAUUGUGACACCUCUAGCUCUGGGCAGCAGCUUCUGGGAAAGCUCUUUACCAACAAGUGUAAGAAGAGAAGCUGAAGGGAAAAGUGCCAAUCUGAGCAGCUUCUCUUGAAAUACUGCGGUAUACAGCACAAGACAGUGGCAGCAAAACUUUUACUUCAUGGAUUAAGUGCAUUUUUCUUGGUUACUCUGGAAGAUGCUUGUUUGGCAGUUUCUUUUUGCAUGAUGCCAAAGCAGUACAUCCCUCCUGCCAGCUUUGUUUUCAUGAUGAUUGAGUUUCCUGCCAUAUACCUGAUAGAUGAGAAAAAAAAUGGGGACAUUUGUGGCAAGUCACUCUACUUUUGCUGCUGAACCAGCACUGACCAUGGAGAUGACACUUUAAAUGUGAAACCUAAAGAGUCUCUUCCAAUCAGGACCAUAAUGUUUCUGUUUCGCUCAGUCUUCUUUCAUCCACUGAUAAAUGAAUUUUACAAAAUACCUGACCAAAACUUCUGAUUCUGAUCAAGGGGAAUCUUUCUUUUGGCCUUAAUCAAUUUUAGAUCAGGCCUUCAAAGCAAAGAACUGGUUUGUUAACUUGAAGAAUGCUUCAGUUUCCAAGGAUGGUUGAUUUGGGCAGGACUAACAUAGAGUAACCACUGUGGUGAUAAACUGUCAACUGUUAUGGUGCUGUGAAUCAAUGUUCUGCUGAGGAACUGAAGGUCUACCCUUUCAAAAGGUUAUCAUGCAUGCUCUAUGGUUUUUCUUUUUUUUGGAGGGGGGGGGGAAAUACCUCACUUACCUAACUGUCAAAGGUUUAAUACAUGGGGCUGUAAAAAUGAGAUAUUUUUCACAUUAAUUAGCCUUAAGCAGGAAGAUAAUAUUUUUGCCAUUAUAGCGGUUCCCCAUUUUUAGCUGUAUUUCAACAUAACUGAAAGCUUGAACAGUGUUCAAAGUUGUGUUUUUUUUUUUUUUCUUUUUUGUGCUGAGCAAAAGUACCACUAUUUUAAAGAAUCUCACGUAAAACACAUAGCAUUAUUUCUCUGGCUCAGUCAUCCAAUUUUUAAUGUUUUUCAUUUAAAUGAAUAGUACAGACAUUCAAAAUUCUUUUGGCAAGAAAAGAGUUAGUCUAUGUGUGGUACGCUGUAAAAUUUUACUGGAUGGAUCUUUUCUUUUACAUUACGGCUAUGAUUUCAACUAUUAAUCAAAAUAAUUGAUGUGUUUUAUAAACACACAUUCAAGUUUGUUUGUUUUUUUUCCUUAUUCUAAGUGGUUCUUUUAGGAAUUGUCAUAUAUAAACACCAAAAAGAACUGAAGAAAUGUAAAUUAGUCUAAAAUGCUUUUAUUUCUGAAAUUAGAUGUUUGUAAUCUCUCUUACUGCAUUAUUUUUCAGUUGCAUGAACAGAUAAGCUGCUCUGCAAAGUUCCAAGUUUCUAUCUGUAAAAAAACCUCACUAAUAACAUCACAUUUCAAAAGAGAUGAAUAUUUAAUAUAGAUUUUCAAAAUGUUAAGACUAGAUACAAACUGCAAAUCCUUUGCUUUUGCUUUUUUCUUUCUACCACACAGAUAUAUGUACUGUGAGAUUCAUUCCAAAGUAGCAUUUCUGGAUAAACCAAAGCUACAUGACAACAGAAGUUAUAUCUAUAUUGGUGACUGGGAUGAAAUGCUUAAUUUAUUCUCUAUGCAAUUCCACAAAUGAGAGGAUAACCCUGGUAAGCUGCAGUAAUCAGGCAUGGCAACUCAGCAGGGUAUCCACAAGGCUACCUAAAGUAGUCUUUGGCAGGUCUUAAUGAAUUUUGUAGUUGUUGCCCAAAGCAAUCUUGUGGUCUGUUGCAAAAUAAUAUGUGGUUGAGUUACUCACAAGGCAAUUACAAUGAUUCGGGUUGUGGAAAACUGAGCUCACUAGAGGUAGAAUCAGAUAUUCAGCUGUUGUAAAUCACUUUGACUGCACUAAUGUCAAUACUGUACAAGGGCCUGAUAAUCUCCGUUUGUAAGAAAAAUGUUUCCCAAAGAUGUGAUCCAAAGACCAAUGAAGUCAUUGGGAGGUUUUCUAUUAAUUUCAAUCACUUUUAGAUCAGUCUGCAAGUAUUUAAUGUUAAUCUAUUUUUAAAAAUAAAAUACAGGUAACCUUGGAGGCAAGUACAAACACAUAUUUUUAGAAAAAGACAUAUCCAAAACAUUAAACUUCAAAUAAAACUUCAAACGAGAAGCAGAUUCAGAACCUCUAACAACUUUAGGCAAUGAAUUCCACAGAUCAUUACAACUCUUACAGGCUGUGCUUUGCUCUCCCACUAUACCUUUCUAUAGUUUUUAUCUCCACUAUGAAAUGCUUGUAAACACAUGCACCAAUAUAGCAUAGUACAAUUACAAUGCUGUGCAGUUAAUGAGAUUAACUUCCACUGGUGUGUCCAGCUGAAUCUAUUGUGAUCUAUCCCAUUUGUCUAUUUAUUUAUUUAAUAUUUAUUUAUUUAUUUAUUCAUUCAUUUAUUUAGUGUUCUGUGGUUGACUGCUGGAGGCCUGAAGGGACUUGUUUCAAAGGAAUAGGUGUGUUUGGGAGCUGUUUGAUUGACUUUGUACACAGCUGUAUGCAUUAGUGUCUACUUAACAAAGUAACAGGGCAAAUGGUUGGUUGGAGCAGAGGAAGAGAAAUGCCAUGCGUUUUAGCAAAGGUACUGUUACCUUGUGCCAGAACAGACUGCUUGUGGGACUAGUGUAAAUGAAAACACAGAUAUAGACACUGAGCUCAUGAAUAAAAAUCCAGGUCAUUAGGUCUUAGAGCACAUAGCCCUGAUACACAUGUGCACUUUCUUGUCACUAGAUUUCAGGCAUCUGCUUCUGCCAUAUUUGGGGCCUUUUAAUUCUCCCUUUUUCCUCUGAUGAGAGUUCUUUACACUAACAAACUCUCUGGCUCUUAGAGAAAAUGAAUUCUUUGUAUUUGUAAUAAAAACACUCUUAUGACCCUUAAAAAAUGUUAUUUUAAUUAGUAUUGCAGGACAUUUGUAAAGAAUGUACAAAUUAAUUUAAAUCUUAACCCAGACAUGGACAUUUUAUGGGCAGGAAAAAGUGACUCCUUCAAUUUAUGAAAAAUAGAGUCACAACACAGGAAAAAGCAUGAUUUUUCAUAUGACAUGACAUAUCACAUAUAAUCACAUGUGAAGAUUGAAAUAGUCGUGGUAGUACUCAGUUUAUACAAUCAUAAAAAUUAUGACUUCAUAAUAAAAAAAUAGUUAACUGAAAACACUUGAUAAAGUUUUCUAGUCUUUGUCUAGCAUAGGAGGAGAAACAGUGUGUGUAAAACUAUUCUAAUAAAUGAUUUAAGGAAAAAAAUGAGUUCUGGGUUUUAGAGAGACACUCUGAUUUUGAAUUAUUAGAGGUUCAGGGCCAAUUUCAGGCAUCAUGACAGAAAGUUCAAUUUUGUUGAGGUUAGUGAUUGUAAAGCAGGAAGGAACAGUCUGUCCUUAUCUCACAUUAUUAUUUCUAUUAUCAGUAAAUGCCUUCUGGUUUAGAGAAAAAGCAAUAUAUUGUGGGUAUUUUUAUUUGAUUCCUUUGCACUUUUAAUUGUUUCAAACUGCCAUUAUUUUGAAGCAAAGAUCUACGGAGUUAGUAUAGGAAAAUGACACAGUAUAAGCUUCUAUAAAAAUAUUCUUACC